CGAGUUUGAUCAUGGCUCAGAUUGAACGCUGGCGGCAUGCUUUACACAUGCAAGUCGAACGGUAACAGGCCUUCGGGUGCUGACGAGUGGCGAACGGGUGAGUAAUGCAUCGGAACGUGCCCAAUCGUGGGGGAUAACGUAGCGAGAGUUACGCUAAUACCGCAUAAGCCCUGGAGGGGGAAAGCGAGGGGAUCGCAAGACCUUGCGCGAAUGGAGCGGCCGAUGUCAGAUUAGCUAGUUGGUGGGGUAAAGGCCUACCAAGGCGACGAUCUGUAGCGGGUCUGAGAGGAUGAUCCGCCACACUGGGACUGAGACACGGCCCAGACCCCUACGGGAGGCAGCAGUGGGGAAUUUUGGACAAUGGGCGCAAGCCUGAUCCAGCCAUGCCGCGUGCGGGACGAAGGCCUUCGGGUUGUAAACCGCUUUCAGCCGGAAAGAAAUCGCCAAGGCUAAUAUCCUUGGUGGAUGACGGUACCGGAAGAAGAAGCACCGGCUAACUACGUG
rnacentral:rRNA from 1 species